rnacentral:rRNA from 1 species
UACGGAGGGUGCAAGCGUUGUUCGGAAUCACUGGGCGUAAAGGGGGUGUAGGCGGUCCGCUAAGUCUGAUGUGAAAGCCCGGGGCUCACCCCCGGAAGGGCAUUGGAAACUGGCGGACUCGAGUCUCGGAGAGGAAGGUGGAAUUCCUGGUGUAGCGGUGAAAUGCGUAGAUAUCAGGAGGAAUACCGGUGGCGAAGGCGGCCUUCUGGACGAUGACUGACGCUGAGACGCGAAAGCGUGGGGAGCAAACAGG